UGAAAGAGAGAGAUCCAGCUGCAAACUCAUAUCGUGAAGAAAAAAUUGGAACUUUUUUGGUUCAAUCUACGAUUUCCCGAUCUUGAAAUUCUUCUUUUCCUUCGUCUUCUUCUUUCCCGAUCUUGAAAUUCUUCUUCUCCUCCGUCUUCUUUUUCAUCUGUGCAGGAUUAAUAAACUAAUCAACAGAAUCGGAGAUUUAAGCUCCAUUUAACUGAAAUUAUUUUUAAUCAACAGAAACCAUUACAUCUGUUUUUCCGAAACAAAUUAAUGUUAUGUUUAUUUGAAGAUUCAUAAAGUGUUUUUUGAUGAUUGCAUGUUCGUUUCAUAGAUUUUAUGUUCAAUUUUUGUUUUCAGUGUUUUGUUUUUUGUUGUUGUUGUAGAGAUCGUGAUUUAUGUGGGAAGAUUGAUUUCGUGAUUAUUCCGUUAGAUUUGAUUGGUUGUUGAUAUAGUUUGAUCUCGAGAUCCUUAUUCAUCUCUUAAACAGGCCAAAGAUGGUUGUUGCAGAGUUCAAAUUUUGCAAUCAGACCGUCUCAUAUCCUGUUUCAGGAUCAGCUACUGUCAAGGAGAUGAUAAGUGUGGUGAAACAAAAGUGUCCUUAUGUUCCUGAAGACCUCAUACUUUUUGGUUACACUGUAGAUGGGAUUUCAAAUGUCAUCAAUUACGAUUUGGAUUUGAGGUUUUUCUUUCACUAAUGCAGCUCACAAGGGAUUGACUUGUUGAAGUUUGAAAUCCAGUUAAGGACUUGUAUUGAUUCUAUUUCUUCAUCAUCUUCUUUUGCUCCUGCUUCUUCGUGAUCAUCAAGUUAUAUUUCAAGCGAUGAGGUAGUUGUUGUGGAAGAUGUCACUGAUGAUGCGUGUUUGAUCAAAAAGGUCAUGAAGAAGUCUGAUGCUUGGGUCAACAUCUUAACUGGAGUAGGGCAGUUGUUUGAAGGUGGUAAAAGUUAAGGACUCUGUUACAAAGUAUGAAAUAUGUAGUGGUCGCAAAUACAAAUUAGUUAAGAGUGACCUUGAACGAUACACUGUGGAGUGCAAGUUCAAAGAGAAGGAAAAUUGUCGCUGGAGGUUUCACGCCUCUCUCCUCGCCAACUCAAAUGGUGUAUUUCAAUGUUGGCUGGAGCUUGGAUGGCUGCGAUCACGAUCCUUGACAAGGACGAGUGAUGACUACAGGCACAAAUCUUGGUAGUUACGAGUGGUGGCUACGUCCAUGGAUCUUGAAAGGAAGGAGCGGCAGCUACGAGCACGAACCUUGGUCGACCACGACCAUGAAUAUUGACGGGCUUUAAUAAAUCACGCAUGCGAGUUUAUUCUCCCUUCUUUAAUUUCUUGGUGAAGCAGCUCUUCCAUGAUUUCCUGUGUGCGGAAACUCUCCUAUUGUUGUUUGCAUAAAUGCUCCAUCAUGAUAUGUACGGUUUCGUGGACGGAGUCCCCAGGAACUAUGAAACUCCUGACGGGGAGAGGGUCUCUGCGAACUCCCUCAGUGCCUAAUUGAAAUUCUCCUGCAUCUGUGGUAACGACAAUAUUUGGGGUUUUCCAUUUGUUCCUGAGUUGGUGGCCUGGUAGGAGGUAGUUUGAUGGCAUCAUCUUGAAUCCAUACUUCUAGGAGUUCAAUCACUUCGGUCGGGAACAGGAAGUUUGGAGCAGCAUCUCCAGUUUCUUGUUGUUGUGCAGAAAUCUUUAGCCGCGGCCUUUCGGGAUGAGACCGUCUGAUGCGCUGGUGCUGCACGUUUGAGUUGUUGUUCUGCAACUGGAGCUUUCCUCUCUCACCAUGCUUUCAGAGGGUUGAGUGUUGUAUUGUUUGUUGAUGAGACGUCUUUUUCCUCGAAUCUCACGUGUAUCUUCAUUCCUGGCGGGUCUGAUUCCUUCCAUCAAGGUUGGUGCUGUUGUAGCCAACCGCUUAACAGCUUCAUGAAGUUCAAAGAACGUCUGGAAGCGCAGGUUCUCCAGCAAAGCGCGAUGACAGGUUCCAUGAUAUUA